UCCCUUGUGGCUCAGCUGGUGGAAGAAUCUGCCUGCAAUGCAGAAGACCUGGGUUCGAUCCCUGGGUUGGGAA
rnacentral:tRNA from 1 species